GCAUAACGCGAAGAACCUUACCAAGGCUUGACAUACACCAGAAUACCCUGGAAACAGGGGGCUCUUUGGACACUGGUGGACAGGUGGUGCAUGGUUGUCGUCAGCUCGUGUCGUGAGAUGUUGGGUUAAGUCCCGCAACGAGCGCAACCCUCGUUCUAUGUUGCCAGCACGUUAUGGUGGGAACUCAUGGGAUACUGCCGGGGUCAACUCGGAGGAAGGUGGGGAUGACGUCAAAUCAUCAUGCCCCUUAUGUCUUGGGCUUCACGCAUGCUACAAUGGCCGGUACAAUGGGCUGCGAUACCGUGAGGUGGAGCGAAUCCCAAAAAGCCGGUCCCAGUUCGGAUCGUAGUCUGCAACUCGACUACGUGAAGUCGGAGUCGCUAGUGAUCGCAGAUCAGCAACGCUGCGGUGAAUACGUUCCCGGGUCUUGUACACACCG
rnacentral:rRNA from 1 species